UGGCUCAGAUGGUAAAGCAUCUGCCUACAAUGCAGGAGACCAGGGUUCAAUCCCUG
rnacentral:tRNA from 1 species